rnacentral:rRNA from 1 species
GACGAACGCUGGCGGCGUGCUUAACACAUGCCAGUCGAACGGUGAAGCGCCUUCCUUUUUGGUGGGUGUGGAUGAGUGGCGAACGGGUGAGUAACACGUGAGUAACCUGCCCCCUUCUUCUGGAUAACCGCAUGAAAGUGUGGCUAAUACGGGAUAUUCUGGGUCUGUCGCAUGAUGGGUCUGGGAAAGAUAUUGUUUCGGUGGGGGAUGGGCUCGCGGCCUAUCAGCUUGUUGGUGGGGUGAUGGCCUACCAAGGCGGUGACGGGUAGCCGGCCUGAGAGGGUGGACGGUCACACUGGGACUGAGACACGGCCCAGACUCCUACGGGAGGCAGCAGUGGGGAAUAGUGCACAACGGGCGCAAGCCUGAUGCAGCGACGCCGCGUGAGGGAUGGAGGCCUUCGGGUUGUGAACCUCUUUCGCCAGUGAAGCAGGCCUGCCUCGUUUGUGGGUGGGUUGACGGUAGCUGGAUAAGAAGCGCCGGCUAACUACGUG